rnacentral:lncRNA from 1 species
UUCAAAUUCAAUUGUGUCCUAAAACAUUAUUUCAUUGGUAAUUCUUGCGAAAAACAUUGCUUUCAAAGUAUAACUGCCUAUGUGAGUGAUCAAAUUCAUGCAAAAUUUCUUGUGCUUUCCAACAUGUAGCACUGUGGACAUCAGACUGAAAACUAGGAGAAAUUACAAAUAGCCUGAAGGGCACUCUUUGUUUAAUUGCUGUUCAGUAACUUACCAGCAUCUAAUUUUGGAAUUUUUUUUGUUUUAAGUGUUGAAAUGUACCCAAACAUUCAUGGAAAUCUGAUUCAAACAUAAUUCUCUAAUGUGGAGAAGGAAGCAGAGCCUACAAUGGUGUUAAUUUUGUUCCUUUUUGUUAUGUACUGUGAAGUCCCUCUAGAGGCUAUUCUGUUAGGAUCCUACUAUAUUGUAUUCAGUGUACAAACACAAAGAACUGGUUUCGAUCUCGAGCAUCUCAAUUUAAUUAAAGAUAAUAUUUGAGUAGGGAUGAGAAUUGAUAAAUUAGGUGCUGUGGCACAACGAACUAACUUUUUGCUGCAGAUAACACAAACAUACUCUCCAUGUUCUCCGUAAUUCUAUCUUGACAUUUUAAUUUGAUGUUCUGCCAUGAUGAACAAUUUGCCUUAGAAUUCUCAUGCCUUGUAAUAAAGGCUGUUUAAAAAUUACAUCUUAUCUUUUGGGGAGAUUUCUAGCUAUGUUAUUGGGGUAUUAUGUGUUGCUUUUAUUGACCCUCGUCUUGGACAUUCCCAGAUGUCAAUUUUAACUGGCGAGUCAUGACAUUCUUCUGUUGCAUCUGAGCCAUUCUGUACCCCAAUGAAGAACAUUUGCUUCUCAAGAAAGAGAAACAAAAGGAUUUAAUCUUUCUCUAAAGAAAACUAUUGCUGGACCUCUAAAUAUCCAAAUCAAAUACGUUGGUCAUACUUGAUUACAGCAUUAUAAGCAGACUAUUGGGCAAGUUAAGCUUCAGUGGUCAUACUCCUCCCUUUGUCUUCUAUUCCUGUCUGGUGUCUUUGAGAAUUGUAUUUUGUCAGAAUGUUAACAAAGAUGAGCCUUCCCACGCUUUAUUUGUUGUGGGACUGGUAUAUAAUUGCAUGGUUUGACUUGAGUUUAAUUGAAGCGAGGAUGUAUGUCUGGUUCGCAAAAAUGGGUUUGCCCCUUUGCCAAGCUCUCCCUUUCAAAUUAAUGUAAUUGGUCAUCAAUGUAAAAAAUGUUUUCCUAAGUUAGUAUUUUAGUAUGUUAAAGCCUUUUUUUCUUUUUGUUCUUGUUUUUUAUUUCAUAAAGUUAAUGGGGCCAAAUCCUGUCCUCUCUGUUCCUUACUUGAGCAGUGAAGUCAGAGGGGUAUUGCCUGGGUAUGCGUUUCAGGCUUUUGCUUGUGGGAAGCGUGAUUGAGGCUGACCUGACAUGUCAUGAUGUCGACUUGCUAGGUGGGGUUCGCAAGGGACAUUAACCUUGGAGUUAUCGGUGUGAUCUCAAACCCUGCUUGAAUUAAUCAGUUUUCAAAUACAGCGUAUUGAUGAGUGAGCAAAAAAAGUUAGUGCAGCUCAAUGCUGGCAGCACCUGGAGAGCAAGCGCCAAUGAGUAUGCUGAAGGACAGAGACUGUGAUGAGCACUAUCAGUGUGCAACGUGAACUGAUGGCAGGUAUUCAUAUCUGGUCCUCGUAGUCUGACAUAAAUAUGGAAGCCAUAAGAUGCAGUGUGACUUCUGGCCGUGGAUUCUUCUGUUCUUGAUGAAUAUUUCAGUGUUGAUAGAAACAUUUGUUUUCAUAGCAUGUCCAAGAGCUGUUCUGCAGUGGAGAAGGUAAGUUCAUAGGUGUGGGCAGGGGACGGACAACCAAGGCCUUCAUCUGUUCUCAAGAGUUGUAUGGACAGAUGUUGGGCUGAUCAAACAGCUACUGAAACCAUGAAGAAUCGGGGCAUAUUUUUAUUAGUGGGGAUGAAAAGAGAGAUUUAAGAUUUUUAGCCUUUCCAUGAUGCUCUCAGAUGCAUGGUUGAAUUUUAAGGUGUUUCUGAAUGGAUCCAGAUUGUGAUGUGCUGUAAUUAUAUUUGUUGUCUUUUGAAACAGACUCGGUUGCAGUUCAUUGUCAUUCUCUGUUCAUUUUCCUGAUUGAGAAUUACUCUCUGCAGUGCUUGUUGCUGGAAAAUAUUUAGUUGCCAGUGUUUAUUUCUGUCUUACAAGUUCAGCUGAGUCCUCUUUGCUUUAUGGUGAGGGACUGCUGCUGGCUAUUAGCUGUGCUUUGAAGACAAAUAUCCCUAUUUUCAUUCAAGUUCAGAUUGUGUUUGCUCCGAAACCCAAUGGAAGUGUUAGCUGUAUCUCAGUUCCCUGAUUUGGGUUGAUAGGACUUGCCUGUGAAUCUUGUUCUGACAGAUGAUUACCUCCCUGGACUCCUUCCUUAGGUAACUUAGCAAAGAGUCCCAGGUAUGCUUUGCAAGGUAGAACCACGUGUAGACAACAGGGUUUUGUUGUUCUUCAGGGGGAAAAAAUACGUAGCAUGGAAACAUGAAAUCUGAAUCACCCUGAAUUUAAAAAUAAAAAUCUAGGAGAUACAGCGACUUAAUGCUGUAAGUUGGAAGAAUGGUGGUGAAGUUCUUGAAUAUGAGAUUUGUUUUAAACUGACAAUAAAACUGUGUGCAAUUUGUGCUUUUGCAGUAAAUGUAAAGCGUGCCAUGGAUUAGCUAAUCUUCCAGAAGAACCCCAGCAUCUGCAUGCCAUGGCAAGUGAUCUGAGGAGCUCCAGGUGGGUGUGCUACAUGUAUAUCGAGUCGUCUCUCUAG